CCUGGGGAGAUCAGUGGUUGGGGCUGUUAUUAUACAGGUGUGUGAUGCCAUGGAAAAGGUACAGUCACACUGGGCUGUGAAAGGUACCGUCGCACUGGGUUACAAAGCUUGGUAAUGCUCAGGAGAUCAUUAAUGGGUUUGCCCACAUGGGGUUCCCAAACUGUAUUGGGGAAAUUCAUAGAAUCAUAGGCUAUCAGGGUUGGAAGAGACCUCUGGAGGUCAUCUAGUCCAACCCCCUGCUCAAAG